rnacentral:rRNA from 1 species
UACGUAGGGUGCAAGCGUUGUCCGGAAUUAUUGGGCGUAAAGAGCUCGUAGGCGGUUUGUCGCGUCUGCUGUGAAAACUCGGGGCUUAACCCCGGGCCUGCAGUGGGUACGGGCAGACUAGAGUGCGGUAGGGGAGACUGGAAUUCCUGGUGUAGCGGUGAAAUGCGUAGAUAUCGGAAGGAACACCAGUGGCGAAGGCGGCUCACUGGCCCGAUACUGACGCUGAGGCACGAAAGCGUGGGGAGCAAACAGG